ACGCUCGACACCUACGGAGGCAGCAGUGGGGAAUAUUGCACAAUGGGGGAAACCCUGAUGCAGCGACGCCGCGUGGAGGAAGAAGGUCUUCGGAUUGUAAACUCCUGUUGUUGGGGAAAAAGAGGAUGGUACCCAACAAGGAAGUGACGGCUAACUACGUGCCAGCAGCCGACGGUUAAUCUGAGGCGGGCGUGGACGAAGGC
rnacentral:rRNA from 1 species